CCUGCACCUGCCGGCGACCGGCGCACGGGUGAGUAACACGUAUGGAACCUGCCCGCCACAGGGGGAUAACCCGGGGAAACCCGGCCUAAUACCCCAUGCCGCCCGGACCGGGCAUCCGGUCCGGGCGAAAGGAGGAAUCCGGUGGCGGCUGGGCAUGCGGCGCAUUAGCUUGACGGCGGGGUAACGGCCCACCGUGGCGACGAUGCGUAGGGGUUCUGAGAGGAAGGCCCCCACACUGGAACUGAGACACGGUCCAGACUCCUACGGGAGGCAGCAG
rnacentral:rRNA from 1 species